rnacentral:lncRNA from 1 species
UGUUUCCACUGCUCAUUCUUCACUCGUUUGUGGACCAAGGGACGUGCCCACUCUGGCACCUUGUCCCCAGGGUCUGGGAAGCAGUGCUGCCACCUAGGGUUCCAAUCGGUAUGAAGAAGGGCUUUGAUAUGGAUGGAGCAGAGGUGGCCAUCCCUUGGCUGGACCCUUAUUUUGAAUCUAGAUUUGCAUUUUGACGCCAGCUGCUAACUUUCUAAAUGCCUAAUCCACAGUCUUCCUAUCCUUCUGACACUAUUUCUAAGCAAGGAAAUUGUUUUAGGGCAAAAGAAAUGGGGCUGAUUUUUAUGGAAUAACUGGUCUCACCCCAUUAUCCAGGACAGUGGGUGUUUUUGAAUGGCAGAGUGGCUUUUGGAGACAAAGUUAUAGUGCCACCUGACACAGAACGCCCUGCCGGUUGGUGAUACCUUCUGGCAGUAUGCAGUGUAUACUCAGAACUCACAACCAGGCUGCUCCCUUAGAGCCCUACUCAGGGGUCUAGGACUCGGAGGGAACUGAAGUGACCUUUCACAUUUCCACCUUUUGACCAACCGGCAGUUUUGUCCUUGUCGUCUCUGUUCUGGGGGCUUGUUAGCCUGCUCUACUCUAAAGGCCUCUCUUUCCAGGGGAGCCAUGUUCCCUAGGAGAGACAAAGAGCACGCCACUGAACUGGGAGACAGCAGCCUGGCUCCUUGGAGCACCUCUGGCAUUGACACAUUAGCUCAGAUGAGGCUCCUCUUCUGACAGAAUUAUCUGUCUUAAUUAUCAAGCAGAAAUGUGCAUACAGAUACGUGACAAGCAAGGGAGGAAGCUGAGGUCAGAGAGGUAAAGAUCCCUUGACUCUGAAACCUUUGUGCAAUGGCUGCACCCACCAGACAAUAGGGCGCCUCAGGAAAGGUGGGGAUUUCACCUCGCAGAGAAUGGGCGAGCCCUUCUGUACCUGCUCUCAGCCUAUCAAGGUGUUUCUCUAUUCAUCCAGUCAAAUGGAUAUAUGAGCUAUCUUAUCUACUUUACAGUUAACUCAUCAUUUGUUUUCAUCAAGAUUGACUGGGUUAUGCUGAAACCACAAACAACCUCAGAAUUUCAGUGGCUUAAUAAUAAUGCGUCUUUCUUUUUUACUCAUGAUCCAACAAGGUCUAAGGAGGUGCCAGAGCAGAGACUUUAGGUUUUGUAAUCAGGUUCUCUGACCUAGACUGCUGGAGUCUCAGGGUCAGCACAGGCUUCUAGGAUCUCUGAGCUGGCAAAUAAGGGGGGAACAAAAGGAACAUAUGGAUUCAUGUAGUGCUAGUCUAUGAGACUAUCUCUCAGCAGGAACAUUAUUUGUAAUCAAUACAUAGAUAACAGUACAAAGUAAGUGUGGCAUCAGCCAGGUAGCCUGGAUUUCAGGAAGCAACAGUCAUGACAAGAGCAAGAAAGAGGAAGUUGGUUUAACAUUGGGGUUCAGUGUAAUCUCAGUCACAGAAGAUUAAGGAGAGCAGGGAGUUAUGUAAGAGUGCUGUGGAUAAGCACACAGAGGCAAGAGGUAGAAAAUUAAAAAAAAAUUUAAAAAGUGCUGUGGAUAAGCACACAGAGGCAGAGGUAGAAAAUUUAAAAAGUUAAGGAUGAUUGCUAAUAAAUGAUUGAAUGAGUGAUUUACACACACACAUGCAUGCACGCACGCAACCAUGCACACCCACACACAUACACAGAGAAUUUAACUCCUUAUAGGAACAUUUAUCAACAUCUUCUAUGAUGAGAUUAGUUGUUAAGAAUAAGCUCAUAAUUAGAUAUUUAUGUUUUUACGAUAUUCAGGUAAAUUGUUUGCUUUAUUCCAUAAACAAGUUUAAGUUAUUCUCAAGCAUGUAACAUUUUUGUUGCAAAGAAAUCCCUAUUAUAGGAAGGCGGUAACCAUGCUUUGAAGGCUAGGUGUUACCAGGUGCUGGGAGGAACAGCAAAAGUAAAAAGCACUUCUGGCUAUUUUCCACUAGAUGGUGCUAUUAAGUUCAAGAGUCAACCUGCUGUAUUUUUUAGCGCAGGAAUUUGACUAAUUUUAGAAGAUAUUUAUAUCGUGUUACUUUUCCCUUUUACAUCAACAUUUAAAACAGUGUUCAAACUGAUUUUACUCAUUUUGGAAGUAAAAUAAUCACACUUGUAACCUCAGGAAAUUUGAAAACCCUGUUAACUUCUUAAGGAGCUGGUAUGAGAUUAUUUGCUAUUUUUACUGUAAUUCAUAGAAAUGAUAUUUUUAUCUAAAAAGUAGUUUUUUGGGUCAUUUUUUUACCUGUGUUGUGAGUUUUGAUCACAGCUGUUUUUCUUUUCAGGAGAAAAAGUUUUCGUUUGAGGACUACUAAAAGAGUAGGGGUUACAUAUUUUCAAUUUUUUUUAAUCAGGCAAGAAAAUGUUUUGAGUGGUUGUGUUUGUGAGUAAAAUUAGACUGCCUUUGAGAGUACUUGAAUGGUUUCACUUGAAUUGCCAUGAGACAUUGUAAACAAAACCAAAAUUCUAAAAAAUAAAAAGCACUUCUUUCAAUGCCUGAAUAAGGAGUACAAUAUAUGUGUAAAGAUUCUGCAAGUGUGUGAUUACAAAAUAAUAAGGAAGCCAACAACUUGGUUUAGGUUUCUUUUCUGUGAAGACACAGCCGGAAGAGACCUUAGGAAUUACCUAGUCCCUAUCCAUCACUGUACAAAUAAAGAAACUGAGGUUCCAGACCACAUUUUAAUGUACUUGAGAAAAAAAGGAAAGAUUCUGAUACAAGCUUUACAAAGUGCUUGCUUACACACAGUGUCCAAGAGCAGGACCCAAUUAUGAGUAAAGAUUAAGAGUCUUCGGUCCGUGUGUAUGGACCAUCAUCUAUGGUCUUCAAUAAAAGUCGUGCAAUUAAAAAGUGGCACUGGGAGAUGGGAAAAUACCGUGUUCCUGGAAUCAGCUUUUACGGUGAAAAGCAUGGACCUGGGAGUCAGGUAGAAUCAAAGGAUGAGUUGCAUAUCUUUCCCUUUCUCUGACACUAAGCUUAUCUAUAAAAGGAGGUAAAUAUACCUACUUCAUGGAGGUGCGAGGCAGCCUAAAUGAAAUAA